AUUGAACGCUGGCGGCAUGCCUUACACAUGCAAGUCGAACGGUAACAGGUCUUCGGAUGCUGACGAGUGGCGAACGGGUGAGUAAUACAUAGGAACGUGCCUAGUAGGGGGGGAUAACUACUUGAAAGAGUGGCUAAUACCGCAUGAGAUUCACGGAUGAAAGCUGGGGAACGCCAGACCUUGUGCUACUAGAGCGGUCGAUGGUAGAUUAGGCAGUUGGAGGGAUAAAAGCUUACCAAGCCGACGAUCUGUAGCUGGUCUGAGAGGACGAUCAGCCACACUGGGACUGAGACACGGCCCAGACUCCAACGGGAGACAGCAGUGGGGAAUUUUGGACAAUGGGCGCAAGCCUGAUCCAGCAAUGCCGCGUGCAGGAUGAAGGCCUUCGGGUUGUAAACUGCUUUUGUACGGAACGAAAAGCCCUGGGUUAAUACCCUGGGGUCAUGACGGUACCGUAAGAAUAAGCACCGGCUAACUACGUGCCAGCCGCCGCAGUAAUAC
rnacentral:rRNA from 1 species